rnacentral:rRNA from 1 species
UACGAAGGGGACUAGCGUUGUUCGGAAUCACUGGGCGUAAAGCGCACGUAGGCGGAUGUGUCAGUCAGGGGUGAAAUCCCGGGGCUCAACCUCGGAACUGCCUUUGAUACAGCACGUCUCGAGUCCGGAAGAGGUGGGUGGAAUUCCUAGUGUAGAGGUGAAAUUCGUAGAUAUUAGGAAGAACACCGGUGGCGAAGGCGGCUCACUGGUCCGGUACUGACGCUGAGGUGCGAAAGCGUGGGGAGCAAACAGG